GACGAAGGAUUCAAGCGUUGUCCGGAUUUACUGGGUUUAAAGGGUGCGUAGGCGGAAUAUUAAGUCAGUGGUGAAAUCUCUCGGCUCAACCGAGAAACAGCCAUUGAAACUGAUUUUCUUGAAUACAGUUGAGGUAGAUGGAAUAUAACAUGUAGCGGUGAAAUGCUUAGAUAUGUUAUAGAACACCAAUUGCGAAGGCAGUCUGCUAAGCUGUUAUUGACGCUGAGGCACGAAAGCGUGGGGAGCAAACAGG
rnacentral:rRNA from 1 species